CUAUUUUAUGGGAUAUGAACAAUUAGACUUAAUUGGCAGGCCUAUAAUUAAGCAACAAUUGCAGCAUGAAAAUAGUGUGUGAAAUUUACUCAAGGGUGAUUAUUUUUAUACCUAGAAAAUUACCCUUGAACUUUCAACAAAUUAAUACUUCUUCAUGUACAAGUUGUCCUCAAACCCUCUAACAUUUAUUCAUGUACAAGCCCUAACUUUCACUAAAAUGGAGAGAACUUACCAAACUCUAAAUUUAUAGGCAUUGUGCAAAUUUGAAUGCUCUUCCAUAAAUGAGAUUCAGUAUCAAACAUUUUUCUAGGUUUGAAAUAAUAGGUAGCUAACCCUAAAAUCAUGCAUUUUAUCUAUAUUUUCAUGAUACAUACAUGCACACCAAUGUACUUACUGUACAUCAAUGGAGUAUAUUGGGAAAUCUUGCUGUUUUAGAACCUCCUAUAAUGUCUAGGACUUCGAAGGGAUCGUGCCUGGAUAUGUAACAAUGUACCAUGGCAUGCCAUUAUUGAGCACAUGUCCAUUGCUGGCCUUUGAAGCAUUGAGCUUGCGCGCAAUCUUAAACUUUCAUGAAUGGAGUAUAUUUUGCAGAUUUGUUACAGCAAUCUGUCAACAAGCCAAAAGCAAGUUUUGAUUCAUGUAUAUAUAUAUAUAAACAUACAUAUGCUUUCUCUUCCAUUCAUUUCAUGUCUAGUAAUAUAGGUUACAUCAAAGCAAACACCAAAGUAGUGAUUUGGACAUACCUUUUAGGGCCUCUUUGGAUGGGUGGCAUUUUUUGUGACAAUACUGAAAGAAAUAACAAGCUUUUGCAUGUGCCCACUUCUAGGGCUUAUGGCAUUGCUUGAGGCCCCAUCAAGCUUGAGGUGCGGUUAGUCGCUGUGCCACUCCAUGGGGACUCAGAAGUAUGGGUGUGCAAUACUUAUUAAUGGUGAAGAAGACAUUAUUAUCUAUGAAUUUUGACAGAGAAAAUGGCAUUCAAGAAUCUGUCUCUUCAACAAAAAUGAAGAAUUAAUUUGAAGUGGUAGUGACUCUUUUGGAU
rnacentral:lncRNA from 1 species